rnacentral:tRNA from 1 species
GGAGAGAUGGCCGAGCGGUCGAAGGCGCACGCUUGGAAAGCGUGUGUACCGAGAGGUACCGUGGGUUCGAAUCCCACUCUCUCCGCCA